rnacentral:siRNA from 1 species
AUGAUUGGUAAGAAAAGUUGUGUG